rnacentral:rRNA from 1 species
AUUGAACGCUGGCGGCAGGCCUAACACAUGCAAGUCGAGCGGAUGAAGGGAGCUUGCUCCUGGAUUCAGCGGCGGACGGGUGAGUAAUGCCUAGGAAUCUGCCUGGUAAUGGGGGAUAACGUCCGGAAACGGGCGCUAAUACCGCAUACGUCCUGAGGGAGAAAGUGGGGGAUCUUCGGACCUCACGCUAUCAGAUGAGCCUAGGUCGGAUUAGCUAGUUGGUGGGGUAAGGGCCUACCAAGGCGACGAUCCGUAACUGGUCUGAGAGGAUGAUCAGUCACACUGGAACUGAGACACGGUCCAGACUCCUACGGGAGGCAGCAGUGGGGAAUAUUGGACAAUGGGCGAAAGCCUGAUCCAGCCAUGCCGCGUGUGUGAAGAAGGUCUUCGGAUUGUAAAGCACUUUAAGUUGGGAGGAAGGGCAGUAAGUUAAUACCUUGCUGUUUUGACGUUACCAACAGAAUAAGCACCGGCUAACUUCGUG